GGGAUAGCUCAGUGGUAGAAGUAUAUGCCUUGAAUGCAGAAAGUCCCAGGUUCAAUUCCUAUUAUCUCCA